rnacentral:lncRNA from 1 species
CCCACUGCUAAGAUUUAUUCAGCACCAUGAACUGGUAGAAAUGAAGUAAACCUAUCAGAAGAGUGACAGGUGUAGAGUCUCUUGUGCCCAGGGGCUCCCAUUCAAUGUGAAUUGUAUUUUAUAAUAUACCAAGAGCCCCCAAACACAGAAGUGACCUGGACCUCUCUCAGCAUCUGUAGAGGAAGCAUUUUAGAAAAGCGGAAAAUAAAAGGGCCUGAUGCAGAAGUGCUUCUCCUUCCCCUUGCCCCUGGACCUGAGCCGGAGCUGUCUAUCUACAUGAGGACACCAUCUGGCAACACUGAAAUGUUGCCCUCACUGUAUGCCAUCACCAGGAAGACAAGCAAUAGAUGAUGAGUGAAAAUAAAAUGUUUAGUUGGAAACUAUUUGGGAAUGGCUUUAUGUCCACAUAUGGACACAGCCUGGCUGGAACUGGGGAGAUCUUCCCUUUCUGGUGUCUUUUCAAGGUCUUGAGAUGAGCUCUAACAAAUAUCUCAGGCCAUCUGGCCUAGUUUUUCAUAAUUGUGACUCCUAAAUGUAAACACGGUCCGAGAGAAUAUCGGGAACAAAAAAAAGGCUAAUGAAAUUCUUCUAAUUUAACGGAGUUGUUCUGAGUCUCAUUCAGUUACUUAAACAUUUUUUUCUUUCCUUCUCGCAGUCAUCAAUCCUGGAAAAUCU